GCUGGCGACCAUAGCACGUGUGAACCACCUGAUCCCUUCCCGAACUCAGAAGUGAAACCACGUUGCGCCAAUGGUAGUGUGGCAUUCGCCAUGUGAGAGUAGGGCAUCGCCAGCUC
rnacentral:rRNA from 1 species